rnacentral:tRNA from 1 species
GCUGAUGUAGCUCAGUUGGUAGAGCAACGGUAUCGUAAACCGAAGGUCGUCAGUUCGAUUCUGACCAUCAGCUCCA